rnacentral:rRNA from 1 species
UGGGGAAUUUUGGACAAUGGGCGAAAGCCUGAUCCAGCAAUGCCGCGUGUGUGAAGAAGGCCUUCGGGUUGUAAAGCACUUUUGUCCGGAAAGAAAUCCUUGGCUCUAAUACAGUCGGGAGAUGACGGUACCGGAAGAAUAAGCACCGGCUAACUACGUGCCAGCAGCCGCGGUAAUACGUAGGGUGCAAGCGUUAAUCGGAAUUACUGGGCGUAAAGCGUGCGCAGGCGGUUUGCUAAGACCGAUGUGAAAUCCCCGGGCUCAACCUGGGAACUGCAUUGGUGACUGGCAGGCUAGAGUAUGGCAGAGGGGGGUAGAAUUCCACGUGUAGCAGUGAAAUGCGUAGAGAUGUGGAGGAAUACCGAUGGCGAAGGCAGCCCCCUGGGCCAAUACUGACGCUCAUGCACGAAAGCGUGGGGAGCAAACAGGAUUAGAUACCCUGGUAGUCCACGCCCUAAACGAUGUCAACUAGUUGUUGGGGAUUCAUUUCCUUAGUAACGUAGCUAACGCGUGAAGUUGACCGCCUGGGGAGUACGGUCGCAAGAUUAAAACUCAAAGGAAUUGACGGGGU